rnacentral:rRNA from 1 species
GGGGAAUAUUGCACAAUGGGCGAAAGCCUGAUGCAGCAACGCCGCGUGAGUGAUGAAGGCCUUUGGGUUGUAAAGCUCUGUCUUCUGGGACGAUAAUGACGGUACCAGAGGAGGAAGCCACGGCUAACUACGUGCCAGCAGCCGCGGUAAUACGUAGGUGGCAAGCGUUGUCCGGAUUUACUGGGCGUAAAGGAUGCGUAGGCGGAUACUUAAGUCAGAUGUGAAAAUCCCGGGCUUAACUUGGGAACUGCAUUUGAAACUGGGUAUCUAGAGUGCGGGAGAGGAAAGUGGAAUUCCUAGUGUAGCGGUGAAAUGCGUAGAGAUUAGGAAGAACACCAGUGGCGAAGGCGACUUUCUGGACCGUAACUGACGCUGAGGCAUGAAAGCGUGGGGAGCAAACA